ACGUACACUCCUACGGGAGGCAGCAGUGGGGAAUAUUGGACAAUGGGCGCAAGCCUGAUCCAGCCAUGCCGCGUGAGUGAUGAAGGCCCUAGGGUUGUAAAGCUCUUUCACCGGUGAAGAUAAUGACGGUAACCGGAGAAGAAGCCCCGGCUAACUUCGUGCCAGCAGCCGCGGUAAUACGAAGGGGGCUAGCGUUGUUCGGAUUUACUGGGCGUAAAGCGCACGUAGGCGGACUAUUAAGUCAGGGGUGAAAUCCCGGGGCUCAACCCCGGAACUGCCUUUGAUACUGGUAGUCUUGAGUUCGAGAGAGGUGAGUGGAAUUCCGAGUGUAGAGGUGAAAGUCGUAGAUAUUCGGAGGAACACCAGUGGCGAAGGCGGCUCACUGGCUCGAUACUGACGCUGAGGUGCGAAAGCGUGGGGAGCAAACAGGAUUAGAAACCCUGUAGUCCCA
rnacentral:rRNA from 1 species